rnacentral:rRNA from 1 species
AUACGGAGGGUCCAAGCGUUGUUCGGAUUUAUUGGGCGUAAAGCGAGUGUAGGCGGUUUGACAAGUCGGAUGUGAAAUCCCAGGGCCCAACCCUGGAACUGCAUCCGAUACUGUUAGGCUAGAGUCCCGGAGAGGGUGGCGGAAUUCCCAGUGUAGCGGUGGAAUGCGUAGAUAUUGGGAAGAACACCGGUGGCGAAGGCGGCUCUCUGGACUGAUACUGACGCUGAGGUGCGAAAGCUAGGGGAGCAAACAGGAUUAGAAACCCCAGUAGUCC